rnacentral:rRNA from 1 species
UGGGGAAUAUUGCACAAUGGGCGCAAGCCUGAUGCAGCCAUGCCGCGUGUAUGAAGAAGGCCUUCGGGUUGUAAAGUACUUUCAGCGGGGAGGAAGGUGUUGUGGUUAAUAACCACAGCAAUUGACGUUACCCGCAGAAGAAGCACCGGCUAACUCCGUGCCAGCAGCCGCGGUAAUACGGAGGGUGCAAGCGUUAAUCGGAAUUACUGGGCGUAAAGCGCACGCAGUCGGUCUGUCAAGUCGGAUGUGAAAUCCCCGGGCUCAACCUGGGAACUGCAUCCGAAACUGGCAGGCUUGAGUCUUGUAGAGGGGGGUAGAAUUCCAGGUGUAGCGGUGAAAUGCGUAGAGAUCUGGAGGAAUACCGGUGGCGAAGGCGGCCCCCUGGACAAAGACUGACGCUCAGGUGCGAAAGCGUGGGGAGCAAACA